rnacentral:rRNA from 1 species
UACGAAGGGGGCUAGCGUUGUUCGGAUUUACUGGGCGUAAAGCGCACGUAGGCGGAUUGUUAAGUCAGGGGUGAAAUCCUGGAGCUCAACUCCAGAACUGCCUUUGAUACUGGCAAUCUAGAGUCCGGAAGAGGUGAGUGGAACUCCUAGUGUAGAGGUGGAAUUCGUAGAUAUUAGGAAGAACACCAGUGGCGAAGGCGGCUCACUGGUCCGGUACUGACGCUGAGGUGCGAAGGCGUGGGGAGCAAACAGGG